rnacentral:rRNA from 1 species
CAGUCGUGGGGGAUAACGUAGAGAAAUUUACGCUAAUACCGCAUACGAUCUAAGGAUGAAAGCGGGGGACCGUAAGGCCUCGCGCGAUUGGAGCGGCUGAUAUCAGAUUAGCUUGUUGGUGAGGUAAAAGCUCACCAAGGCGACGAUCUGUAGCUGGUUUGAGAGAACGACCAGCCACACUGGGACUGAGACACGGCCCAGACUCCUACGGGAGGCAGCAGUGGGGAAUUUUGGACAAUGGGCGAAAGCCUGAUCCAGCAAUGCCGCGUGUGGGAAGAAGGCCUUCGGGUUGUAAACCACUUUUGUACGGAACGAAAAGGUCUGCUUUAAUAAAGUGGGCUCAUGACGGUACCGUAAGAAUAAGCACCGGCUAACUACGUGCCAGCAGCCGCGGUAAUACGUAGGGUGCGAGCGUUAAUCGGAAUUACUGGGCGUAAAGCGUGCGCAGGCGGUUAUAUAAGACAGUUGUGAAAUCCCCGGGCUCAACCUGGGAAUUGCAUCUGUGACUGUAUAGCUAGAGUACGGUAGAGGGGGAUGGAAUUCCGCGUGUAGCAGUGAAAUGCGUAGAUAUGCGGAGGAACACCGAUGGCGAAGGCAAUCCCCUGGACCUGUACUGACGCUCAUGCACGAAAGCGUG